rnacentral:rRNA from 1 species
UACGUAGGUGGCAAGCGUUGUCCGGAUUUAUUGGGUUUAAAGGGUGCGUAGGCGGUUUUGUAAGUCAGUGGUGAAAUACUCUAGCUUAACUAGAGGGGUGCCAAUGAUACUGCGGAACUUGAGUACAGAUGAGGUAGGCGGAAUUGAUGGUGUAGCGGUGAAAUGCAUAGAUAUCGUCAAGAACACCGAUAGCGAAGGCAGCUUACUGGGCUGUAACUGACGCUGAUGCACGAAAGUGUGGGGAUCAAACAGG